UACGUAGGGUGCAAGCGUUGUCCGGAAUUAUUGGGCGUAAAGGGCUCGUAGGCGGUCCAUCGCGUCGGGAGUGAAAAGCUGGGGCUCAACCCCAGUCCUGCUUCCGAUACGGGUGGACUAGAGGUAGGCAGGGGAGAACGGAAUUCCUGGUGUAGCGGUGAAAUGCGCAGAUAUCAGGAGGAACACCGGUGGCGAAGGCGGUUCUCUGGGACGGUACUGACGCUGAGACGCGAAAGCGUGGGGAGCGAACAGG
rnacentral:rRNA from 1 species